GAUAAAAGGUACUCCGGGGAUAACAGGCUGAUGACGCCCAAGCGUCCAUAGCGACGGCGUCGUUUGGCACCUCGAUGUCGGCUAAUCACAUCCUGGGGCUGGCGCAGGUCCCAAGGGUAUGGCUGUUCGCCAUUUAAAGUGGUACGUGAGCUGGGUUCAGAACGUCGUGAGACAGUUUGGUCCCUAUCUACCGUGCGUGUUGGAAACUUGAGAGGAUCUGUCCCUAGUACGAGAGGACCGGGAUGGACGCACCUCUGGUGCACCAGUCGUCACGCCAGUGGCGCAGCUGGGUAGCUAUGUGCGGACGGGAUAAACGCUGAAAGCAUCUAAGCGUGAAACCCCCCUCAAAACCAGGUUUCCCUUGAGAGCCGUGAUAGACCAUCACGUAAUAGGCCGGGUGUGGAAGCGGUGUGAGCCGCGAAGCUGACCGGUCCUAAUCGCUCGAUCGGCUUGAUCGUGCCUCUCCU
rnacentral:rRNA from 1 species